rnacentral:misc_RNA from 1 species
GAUGAAGAACGCAGCGAAAUGCGAUAAGUAGUGUGAAUUGCAGAAUUCAGCGAAUCAUCGAAUCUUUGAACGCACAUUGCGCCCGCUAGUAUUCUGGCGGGCAUGCCUGUUCGAGCGUCAUUUCAACCAUCAAGCCCUGUUUAGGCUUGUGUUGGGGCCCUGCGGUUGCCGCAGCCCCCUAAAUGCAGUGGCGGGCUCGUUGUCACUCCGAGCGCAGUAGCGUAUCUCGCUCUGGGCGUGGCGGCGGGUGCUAGCCGUGAAACACCCACUAAGGUUGACCUCGGAUCAGGUAGGAAUACCCGCUGAACUUAAGCAUAUCAAUAAGCGGAGGA